GCUGUAUGUUCCAGAUGGUUCACAUGUAAGAGUCUCACGGACCACAAACAACUGCAGCAGAACAGAGUCUCUUCUGAUGGAUACCAAGGAGAAAGAAGACUUGAAAAGAAGACAGAAUCUGUCACAUGAAGCAGCCACUCAGCCUGUGCACAACAACUACUGAGCCCAUGCUCUAAGACCUGGAAACCGCAAACGGGAGCCUGCAUGCUGCAACUACUGAAGCCUGAGCACCUAGAGCCUGUGCUCCGCAACAAGGGGAGCCCCCACGUACAGAAGCCUGCUCUCCACAAAGAAGAGUAGUGCCUGCUUGCAGCAAUUAGAGAAAGCCCAUGUGCAGCAACGAAGACC